rnacentral:sRNA from 1 species
CGGUUUCGAUCUGCUGUGGAGAUAUAAAGUGAAUGUGCGUAUCAAUACCGCCAGCGGUAAGGAUAUAACCUGCGCCACCAUGUACUUCGGUAGAUGCGCCGAUAAUCAUUCCUUUGGUGACACCAUCCUGUACGUCAGGAUUACCUGCUUUUCCGAUACCAACAAUUUUACCGUCUUUGAUUCCAAUAUCACCCUUCACGAUACCCCAAUGGUCAAUAAUGAUCACAUUGGUAACACAAAAAUCCAAAACGUCUUCAUCGCGUAAUGCACGGGCAGACUGUCCCAUACCGUCACGGAUCG